GGUAAAAAUACUAGGACGCUGGUCCUCACUUACUUUUAUUUUCUUUGCCAAAGUUAAUAUAAGAGGUAAAAACAACAUCAAAGCUUUAACACUGCAGGUAAAAGAAGAGCAAACUGAAGUACCAAACUAUACCAUUUACUUUAAACAUCAAAGCUGUAACACUGCAGCAACCAGUAAACAAUAGGUUUAAACAUAAGCUCAACUGUAGCAACAGAAACCCAAUGCCACUGUCAAAGCUUGAAAAAGCUUCUUGUUCAAUAUUCCUGUGCACCUGAUUUGGGCAUUAAUAGUUAAUACUAACUUCCAUCAAGGUUUCACAACGCCUAAGCUGUUCCACUUGGAUGUCAGAAAAAAGGGAACUAUUACAUGGAAUAAAAAACAAUUCAUUUAACCCAUAAGCAAUAAGUUUUUUCACUGUUCCAAAAGCAAAUAAUGAGAGUAUGAGAGAGAGAUAACAUACUAUUUAUGGCUAGUGUGUAAUUACUAUUUUUGCAUGAGGUGGUGAUACUUACCCAGUAGAUAAUAGUAACCAUUGUAGAUUUUGAACUUCAUUCGUCCACUGCUGCAUUAAGCAGAGCAAUGCUUUGUCCACUCCAAAUAGUCCCAACAGUGGGGGCUUUCCCUGUUAUUUAGCCAGAUAAUAGGCUGAAAUAAACAACCACUGAGUGCAAAUGAUAGACAAAUGAGUAAAGCACAGUACCACCUUAAGGUUACAACACAAACAAAAAAAAUAUAACUAUGAGGUAUGGUGUGUUGUUGCUCACCUCAUCCCUUAAUCAUUUGGUUGGUGGUUCGAUUCCUGCUAAUGAGAAUAGAGGUCAUUUCAUGUCCAUCUGUUUACCUCUUUGGAGAGCACCCAUGGCGAGGGAAUUAAUCACUAUUACCGACAGUAAAUACCUUAGCUACAACCAAAAAGACAGAUAAAAUAUUCAGAUAUAGAAUUCAAUACCUUAAGGUACCCAAGACAAUGGUAGUUCUUUUCCCGUUUCAUAAAACCAUUUCUCAUUCUCUAGAUUCAAGCUUUAAAAUGUUCAGCUUCCAACGAACAAUCUAUAAUUUAAUAAAAACAAAAAAGAGCAAAUAGAUUGAAAGCAAAUUACAGCAAUAGAAGGAAAGAUGCCAAAUUGAAAGUAUCAUAAAUGGUUAUAUGUUAAAUGCCAAGUACAUACAUGCUAAGAUUCACACUUACUGAUGUAAAAGAAAAAAAUUCCGUUCAACAAUUUAACUGUUUCCUGC
rnacentral:lncRNA from 1 species